CUUGAGUUAUAAAUAUAAGAGGUCCAGCCUGCCCAGUGAUUAAAUUUAACGGCCGCGGUAUCCUAACCGUGCGAAGGUAGCGUAAUCACUUGUUCUUUAAAUGAGGACUAGUAUGAAUGGCACCACGAAGGUUUUACUGUCUCCUUUUCCUAAUCAGUGAAACUAAUCUUCCCGUGAAGAAGCGGGAAUAAGCGAAUAAGACGAGAAGACCCUAUGGAGCUUUAAACACAAUAACAAAUACUACUUUAAACAAAAAUUUCUUAAUGACUUUCUCCCUGGUAUUAUGAUUAUUAGUUUUAGGUUGGGGUGACCGCGGAGAAAAACACAACCUCCACAUUGAAUGAUAAAAUUCUAAGCAAAGAAUCACAUUUCCACGCAUCAAUACAUUGACAUCAAUUGACCCAAUUAUUUUGAUCAACGAAC
rnacentral:rRNA from 1 species